rnacentral:rRNA from 1 species
UUCGGUAUGUAAAGCUCUAUCAGCAGGGAAGAAACUGACGGUACCUGAGUAAGCAGCUCCGGCUAACUACGUGCCAGCAGCCGCGGUAAUACGUAUGGAGCAAGCGUUAUCCGGAUUUACUGGGUGUAAAGGGAGCGCAGGCGGCCUAGCAAGUCUGAUGUGAAAUGCCGGGGCUCAACCCCGGAGCUGCAUUGGAAACUGUGAGGCUGGAGUGUCGGAGAGGCAGGCGGAAUUCCUAGUGUAGCGGUGAAAUGCGUAGAUAUUAGGAGGAACACCAGUGGCGAAGGCGGCCUGCUGGACGAUGACUGACGCUGAGGCUCGAAAGCGUGGGGAGCAAACAGGAUUAGAUACACGGGUAGUC